UUUACUAUUCUUCAUAGGUUGAGUAGGUGGACUAGUCUUACCCCGCCCCUUUGCUACCUGUGGAGGAAGGAAGACCGUGUCUUACAGCUACUCUGGUUAUUGGUUUGGCAUUGUUACAUUCAGAGAUGAUGUCUCUUCCUUUCUGUAGACACAUUUACAAGUAUCUACUUAACAAGAAGAUUUCAUGGAGGAUUUGUCAUCUUUGAUCUGCUCUUUAUGAAGGAUUGGGUAAGCUGGUCAUUGGGUCAUAGAGAGAUCAUCAUGUCUCAGAAAUGGGCACCCACUCCACUAUCAUUAUUCUGUUAUCAUGUACAUAGUCUACUAUACAAUUCAUUUAUAUCUGUACAUAUACUUGUACAUGUACACUCCAUGCAAUAGAUGUACCUUUUUAAAAAUGUUUUGUAGUGUAUGUUCACAGGUAUGAGUUGGGAGGUUACUUUGGGUGAGAAUGAACGAGGGGGCACUCACUGUCUCCUCUCCUCUCUCUCUGAUCUGAAUAUG